rnacentral:rRNA from 1 species
AUACGGGAGGCAGCAGUGGGGAAUCUUGCACAAUGGGGGAAACCCUGAUGCAGCGACGCCGCGUGAGCGAUGAAGCCCUUCGGGGUGUAAAGCUCUUUCGGCAGGAAAGAUUAUGACGGUACCUGCAGAAGAAGCUGCGGCUAACUACGUGCCAGCAGCCGCGGUAAUACGUAGGCAGCGAGCGUUGUUCGGAGUUACUGGGCGUAAAGAGUGUGUAGGCGGUUCGCCAAGUUCGGUGUGAAAUCUCCCGGCUCAACUGGGAGGGUGCGCCGAAUACUGGCGGGCUUGAGUGCGGGAGAGGAAAGCGGAAUUCCUGGUGUAGCGGUGAAAUGCGUAGAUAUCAGGAGGAACACCUGCGGUGUAGACAGCUUUCUGGACCGCGACUGACGCUGAGACACGAAAGCGUGGGGAGCAAACAGGAUUAGAUACCCGAGUAGUCA